AUGAUGGCUGAGGUUGGUUCAAUGCCGGCUGCCUCCUCUGUGAAGAAGCCAUUUGGUCUCAGAAGCAAGAUGGGCAAGUGGUGCUGCACUGCUUCCCCUGCUGCAGGGGGAGAGGCAAGAGCAACGUGGCACUUCUGGAGACCACGACGACUCUGCUAUGAAGACGCUCAGAAGCAAGAUGGGCGUGGUCUGCCAUUGCUUCCCCUGUGCAGGGGGAGAGGCAGAGCAACGUGGCGCUUCUGGAGACCACGAUGACUCCGCUGAAGACGCUCAGAAGCAAUGGGCGCUUCUGGAGACCACGAUGACUCCGCUGUGAAGACGCUCAGAAGCAAGUGGGCGCUUCUGGAGACCACGAUGAGUCCUCUGUGAAGACACUCAGAAGCAACGUGGGCGCUUGGGGAGACUACGAUGACAGCGCCUUCAUGGAGCCCAGGUACCACGUCCAUCGAGAAGAUCUGGACAAGCUCCACAGAGCUGCCUGGUGGGGUAAAGUCCCCAGAAAGGAUCUCAUCGUCAUGCUCAGGGACACUGACGUGAACGAGAAGGACAAGCAAAAGAGGACUGCUCUACAUCUGGCCUCUGCCAGUGGGAAUUCAGAAGUAGUAAAACUCCUGCUGGACAGACGAUGUGAACUUAAUGUCCUUGAUGACAAAAAGAGGACAGCUCUGACAAAGGCCGUACAAUGCCAGGAAGAUGAAUGUGCAUUAAUGUUGCUGGAACAUGGCACUGAUCCAACUAUUCCAGAUGAGUAUGGAAAUACCAGUCUGCACUAUGCUAUCUACAACGAAGAUAAAUUAAUGGCCAAAGCACUGCUCUUAUACGGUGCUGAUAUCGAAUCAAGAAACAAGCUUGGCCUCACACCACUGUUACUUGGUGUACAUGAACAAAAACAGCAAGUGGUGAAAUUUUUAAUCAAGAAAAAAGCUAAUUUAAAUGCACUGGAUAUAUAUGGAAGAACUGCUCUCAUACUUGCUGUAUGUUGUGGAUCAGCAAGUAUAGUCAGCCUUCUACUUGAGCAAAGUAUUGAUGUAUCUUCUCAAGAUCUAUUUGGACAGACGGCCAGAGAGUAUGCUAUUUCUAGUCAUCAUAAUGUAAUUUGCCAGUUACUUUCUGACUACAAAGAAAAACAGAUGCUAAAAGCUUCUUCUGAAAACAGCAAUCCAGGUAAGACUUGUGACAGUGAAUUACUUUAG